GUUCUAGACCUGGAGACGAUUAAAUUGAAGAUGCCUAGAUGAUGAUAUACCAGCCCCAGGAUAUUUACGUCAGGACAGGUAACAUAUGCAUCGGAAAGUAAGUAUAUUUUUUUUUUAUUUAUUAAUAGUUGUCUGAUAGAUAUUAAAAUAAUUUGAAUAUGUAUUACAGAUAGACGGGAGCCCCGAGAGAAGAAGACGAAAUUACAGUCCUAGACAUGGCGAUGAUUUAGUUGUAGAUGCCCAGAUGAUGAUAUACCAGCCCCAGGAUAUUUACAUCAGGACAGGUAACAUAUGCAUCGGAAAGUAAGUAUAUUUUUUUUUUAUUUAUUAAUAGUUGUCUGAUAGAUAUUAAAAUAAUUUGAAUAUGUAUUACAGAUAGACGGGAGCCCUGAGAGAAGAAGACGAAAUUACAGUCCUAGACAUGGCGAUGAUUUAGUUGUAGAUGCCCAGAUGAUGAUAUAGACGGCAGCCCAGAGAGAAGAAGAGAGUACAGUUUUAGACCUGGAGACGAUUAAAUUGAAGAUGCCUAGAUGCCUAGAUGAUGAUAUACCAGCCCCAGGAUAUUUACAUCAGGACAGGUAACAUAUGCAUCGGAAAGUAAGUAUAUUUUUUUUUUAUUUAUUAAUAGUUGUCUGAUAGAUAUUAAAAUAAUUUGAAUAUGUAUUACAGAUAGACGGGAGCCCUGAGAGAAGAAGACGAAAUUACAGUCCUAGACAUGGCGAUGAUUUAGUUGUAGAUGCCCAGAUGAUGAUAUAGACGGCAGCCCAGAGAGAAGAAGAGAGUACAGUUUUAGACCUGGAGACGAUUAAAUUGAAGAUGCCUAGAUGCCUAGAUGAUGAUGCCUGAGAAGUUUCAGUUGUACAGCUUGAAGAUAGUUCCAUUGUACAUAGAAGAUGAAGAUGAGUUCGGUUAAACCUUGUUAGUGAAAAAAACAAAAUAAAGCAGCAUGCAGGGAUAGCAGUUCCAAGCAAGAUGGUAACAUAGAUCUUCAUUACUAACUCCGAGGCUCUGCCAUGAAAAAAAUAAAAAAGCAAGGACAGCAGCUCCAAGGAAGAUUAUUACAUUGAUAAUCUUGCAAGUCUGAUGUGUGGCCAUUAAAGAAAUAAUGUUAUUUCUGAGUGGUACAUAUAUACAAUAACUAUCUGAUUUCCAUCUACAUGCAGAGUGAAAAAAAAAAAAGCAUCAGGGAUAGCAGUUCCAAGCAAGAUGGUAACAUAGAUCUUCAUUGCUAACUCAGAGGCUCUGCCAUGAAAAAAUAAAGAAGCAAGGACAGCAGCUCCAAGGAAGAUUAUUACAUUGAUCAUCUUCCAAGUCUGAUGUGUGGCCAUUAAAGAAAUAAUGUGAUUUCAGUGUUUUCAUGGAUGGGAGUAAGACUUGGUAGUAUAAUAUGUCUAAUAUUUAAGCUACCAUUAAUUACUGCUGGUCAGUAUGGAUUGUAUAGAAUUGUCAUUGGAGCUGUCUUUUAAGGUUAUUACAGUGACUGUUUUCAUGGAUGGGGACUAAAACUUGGUGGUCUAAUACUCAUAAAUUAAUGAAGAUUUGGGAUCCUUUUGGCUUGAAAUAUUGUCAGGAACAUGAAGAAACUGAAUCCAUAAUAAACAUAUGUACGCAAACAGGUAGAUAUACCGACAAAAUAACAACACUGGUUGAUACAAUUCUAGGAACCAGUGAAGAAGUUAAAAGUUUUACAAUAUAUUGAAGACUUGCAACAGAAAAUGUUUUACUGAACAGUAUGAGAGAGCCAAGAUGAUUGUUGGAUUUAAAAUGCUUGGAAAAUACAACCAAAUGAAGACAAAAAAUGCACUGCAUCAACAAACAAAACAACUACUGGAACGUUGGGGCAUCAGUACUGAGUUCUGAUUCUAAAAACAAUUGUUCAAAAUCUUCUACAAGUUUAAGAAGACUGUACAUACAUGUAUAUAUAUAUAU